UUUAGUCUUUCAAAAUCUUUCAAAGUUUGAGAGGCACCCAACAUUUCUAUAGAGGGUUUUGGUUUUUACGACUAUCCAUGAUUCUUUAACGCAUCACCGUUUGCGCAUGCGCCUCGACUAUAAGAAUGACGUCAGACGCCGACAUUGGCACACCAUGGCGAGCUCAGCUCGGUGUCGGAGGCGUCAUGGCGGGGUCGAAAUUUAAAACCCUGGGACUCGACAGGGGAAUCUGCCCUUGUCUACAAAAGUUUCUGAAAGUUAAGAGACACCGGGACGAUCGCGUCCAAUAACAGGAGGAGCUCGGAAACUUAUUCAGAAAGGACGAUGCCCUCCUGUAAGGUGUAGGGAUAAAGAUGCCGGGAGAAUCUUGUCCUUUAAAACUCACUCAGAAAGGUAGAUCUACAAACCAGUAAGACUCAUUUUUCUUUUUAUUCUUUGUGGUUUUGGAUGGCUGCCGCGCCGCUUUCUCACAAACACGCACACAUGCACGCACACUGACUUUGACAUUCUCCCCUCUCUCUGCUGUGUAUUGGAGGUGCCUGGUCAUGGCUGCCAUGUCAUGACUGUUUCCAUCUGAGAUUGAAAUGUUGUUUUCUGUAUGUUUUGUGUAUUUGCUUUGCUGCCAUGACUGUGCUUUGUGCUAUGCUCCUUUGAACAUUUUUUUUUUUUUUUUUUUUUGACAAUAUGAUUCUCCGUCUAGCCAACAUAGUCUUCGCAUCCAAUUCGAUCAUGGCCACCCAAUUUUUUCACCGGUUCGUUCAAAAUGGCCACUGUAUUUGUUUGUCUCUCUUUGUCUAUUUCCCUUUCUUUUUUUUCCUCUCUGUCAAGUAGUUAGCUGACCUUUUAAUUGUGUUGGGGGGGAUGGCCUUCCAACACAAUUAGAGCAUUUAGUGGUCUUUUGAUGUUUGGAUAGUGAGGUUAUUUAAAAGAUUGCAGAAUGGUUGUAAGCUGUAGGAGAGAAAUUCUGUCCCCUUGUUUGUUUUUUGGCUUAAAAAGGUAGUAGGAAAAGACUGGUUGUAGUGAAUUCUUGUUUAGAACUGUUAAGCUAGUGAAAGUGUAACCAGGAAUUGUGAGAUGUUUGGUCAGGGCUGGACUAAUAAGGUACAAAGCCUGAGGUGACUCUCACAGGUCUCUAUGGAGGAUCAGACGGGUUUUAUAUUCACUCAGGUCAGAUGGUCCACUGGUCCUUGAAUUUUGAAUUUCUGUUGGCUUGAGUAUAUGUAAGGGAGGGGAGGUCUUUGUGUACAAUGAUUUGGUGGAGCUGAAGUAGAUAAUAGGAGUGGCCUGUUGGCUGUGUAAUGAAGGUGCUUUUUCUUGGCUGACAUGACUGUCUUAAGUUUUGAUCAAUAUUUGUGCACUAACGUUUUCUUUGUAGGUAAAUCUACAAUCGGUGAGUACCUCAUUUUAAAUAUAUAUUCUUGGGUGGCUGCAAUGCCUAUUUGUGUCUCUAUAGUAGGGCUGAACAAUUAGUUGUUGUAAUCACACUUUAUAAUAUUGAGCUGCAGUUUUUUGCAUAUUGUUCAGUCUUACUCUAGAUUUAUUAUGUUUUAGACUAAUAAAAUACGUCAGGCUGUGUUUCUUUCAAUGAAUUGGGUUUUCUUGCCAAAUGCAUCACCACACAAACACAUUUACACUGCCAAAGCUUAUCAUUAACACUUUAUUUAAGAAAAAAAAAAGUAGAUUAUAUAAACCCAUGAACUGACUUAAGUAGCAAAUUUAGCUUUUAAUCACAAUCUGUUUUGAUAGACAACUCUGGCCAUCAGAGCCAGUCAGUCCACGUGUUCGUCCGCCCAACUUAGCUGUAUUUCAGGCCGUGCGUUCGUCCGUCCAACUUAGCUGCAUUUCAGGCCGUGCGUUCGUCCGUCCAACUUGGCUGCAUUUCAGGCCAUGCACUUGUUGAUCAGCAUGUCCAUUUUUUUUUCCGGGAGGAUCUCUGAAUAGAAGCUCCUGGUGGAUCUACAGUCUACAAUAGUAAGUGCUGUUUUUUCCCCUAUGUGCUGGGUUUUGCUUGGCCGCUGUGCCAAAACUAACUACCCCUUCCUUUUCAGCCUUCAUCCACAAGUGGUUUUUUGUUUUUUGUUUUUUUUGUCUGGCCGCCGCGCCAUAACUAACUACCCCUUCCUUUUCAGCCUUCAUCCUACAAAAAUGCGUCUUUGUUUAUUAUUUUGUUUUUUUAUUUUUGGGCUGCCAUGCCAUCUCUUCUCUAUCCCUCACUGGUUUGUCUUGGCUGCCGUGCCCAUCUACCGAUCUAUCCCUUUCUCGUUCAUCCGUGAAACAUCGCUGUCGGUCCGUUCAAAUAUCGCCGGCCCCCCCCCCCCAGUUCACCUGUCCUAAUUAUCCAAACAACAUAUAGGUGACUGCGAUUAGACUGAUCAUCUGCACAUCAUAGCUGUUUCGAUGAUCACGCUAAUCCUCAAAAAAUAACUGAGCCUAGUGAUCUGAAAUAAUCAAAUGUUAGGUCACAGCUGGGCUAUAAUAUGGUGUAAAUUUUUCAGAAAUCCCAUCAUCCUGUUUUCAAUUGUGUAUUGGUGCUUUGCCUUGGCUGCUGUACCUUUGAAGCUUAAGCUAAUCUAUUUCUUUUUUUCCAACUUUUGGAUGGCCGCCGUGUCAUCACUUGCAGCAGCAUCUGUCUGCCUCUGUUUUUCUUUGUGCGCGUUCGUCGAGCAUGCGUCUUUGUUUGUUAUUUUGUUUUGUUAUUUUUGGGCCGCCGUGCCAUCUCUUCUCUAUCCCUCACUGGUUUGUCUUGGCUGCCAUGCCCAUCUACCGAUCUAUCCCUUUCUCGUUUAUCUGGCCAACAUAACUCUGCACCUAAGAUGACAUCAUCCAAGAGUUCCAAUUAUCCGUUUGUCUACCCGUUAGUUUGUAUAAUCGGUUUAAUUUUUUCCUGGUGAAUCUACGAACAAGUAAGUCCCAUGUUUGCUUAAUUAUGGCCGCCGCGCCAGCCCUUUUUUUUUUCCCCUGUCUCUCACAUGAACAUGCACACACAUACUUGUACACACCCUAUCCCCUGUCUUUUUCCAAUUAUGUAUUGAAGGCCGCCGCGCCUGACACAAACACGCACACAUGCACGCACACUGAUACUUACACUUUGUCUGUCUUGUGUGUUGGUCUGUCUCUGUCUGUUUUGACUGACUGACAAUCAAAUUAGCUCUAGUGGACGGUGUCUGUCUUGUGUGUUGGUCUGUCUCUGUCUCUUUGUCUGACUGACAUUUAAUUUAGCUUUGACUGUCCGGCCAAUUCACUGUCAGAUUAGCUUAAUUGGACAACCGACAUUCAAAUUCGCUUUAUUGGACUCACUGACUUUCUGUUUGACCGACUUUCUGUCUGACCAACUGACUGUCAAAUUGGCUUUAUUGGACUCAGUGACCAACAAUCAAAUGGUUUUGUUGGACGGACCAACAGACUGUGAAGAACUGACUAAUGAGAAACCUAUAUCAAAAUUCUUAUCAAAAUUAACUGACAGGUAAUUGGCAAUGUAUACAAAAUAUGUAAAUAUCAACAAUCCUACCAAUAUAAUAGGUUUUGACCGAUAACUACCUUCAAUUGAUCUCAUACCCAUGCAGGACAGAAAUGUCCAAAAUGUAUGAAAAAAAAAAAAUUUGUCAAUUAGACCAACAUGGCUUGUGCCAUGACAAUCUAUUUCAAUCUAAUUGGCUCAGAUCAGCUU